rnacentral:lncRNA from 1 species
GUCCACACCUGGAGCUCAGGUGUUGCAGUUUGGGGUUCACACCUGGAGCUCAGGUGUUACAGUUUGGGGUUCACACCUGGCUCAGGUGUUACAGUUUGGGGUUCACACCUGGCUCAGGUGCUGCAGUUUGGGGUUCACACCUGGAGUUCAGGUGCUGCAGUUUGGGGUUCACACCUGGAGCUCAGGUGCUGCAGUUUGGGGUCCACACCUGGAGCUCAGGUGCUGCAGUUUGGGGUUCACACCUGGCUCAGGUGCUGCAGUUUGGGGUUCACACCUGGAGCUCAGGUGCUGCAGUUUGGGGUUCACACCUGGAGCUCAGGUGUUCCAGUUUGGGGUUCACACCUGGCUCAGGUGUUGCAGUCCGGGUGCUGCAGUUCGGGGUCCACACCUGGAGCUCAGGUGUUGCAGUCCAGGUGUUACUUUGGGGUUCACACCUGGCUCAGGUGCUGCUCCACACCUGUCCUGGCUCACAGGUACCAAGUCCUCCACCUGAAGCUUCAUCCACCAGGUGCUCCAGGUGCUCCAGAUUUUUGGGCUCCACACCUGUCCUGGCUCACAGGUACAGAGUCCUCCACCUGGGGCUCAGGUGUCACAGUUCAGGUGUUGCUGCUGCAGCUUUUUGGGGUCCACAGGUGAUUUUGGNCCAGGUGUGCUCAGGUGAGCUCAGGUGA